rnacentral:rRNA from 1 species
AUUAACGCUGGCGGCGUGCAUAACACAUGCAAGUCGAACGAUGAAACUUAACUGAUUUCUUCGGAAUGAUUUUAAGUGGAUUAGUGGCGGACGGGUGAGUAACGCGUGAGUAACCUGCCUUGGAGAAGGGGAUAGCCUUUGGAAACGAAGAAUAAUACCCUAUGAUAUGAUACUAUCUCAUGAUAUUAUCAUCAAAGAUUUAUCGCUCUAAGAUGGACUUGCGUCUGAUUAGUUAGUUGGUGAGGUAACAGCUCACCAAGGCAGCGAUCAGUAGCCGGCUUGAGAGAGUGUACGGCCACAUUGGGACUGAGACACGGCCCAGACUCCUACGGGAGGCAGCAGUGGGGAAUUUUGCACAAUGGGGGAAACCCUGAUGCAGCGACGCCGCGUGAUUUAGAAGGCCUUCGGGUUGUAAAAAUCUUUUGUAUGGGAAGAAAAUGACAGUACCAUACGAAUAAGGACCGGCUAAUUACGUG